AAUUUAACAAUUACACCUUUCUUUUUUGUAAGAAUCCUUUUUAUUUUUAGUCCACUCCGCCAGAAGGGAAAAAGUGGCAGCCCGCCGCGCUGCUCAGCCCUGGGGGCCCUCCCUCCACUCAGACGGCCGAUCGCCGGAGUGGGUCAAAGUGGCAGCCCGCCACGCUGCUCAGCCCUGCCGGCCACACCCCACUCAGGUGGCCGACCGCCAGUGUGGGUCAAGGUGGCAGCACGCCGCGCAGCUCAGCCCUGGUGUCCCUCACCACACUCAGGCGGCCGACGGCCAGUGUGGGUCAAAGAGGCAGCCCGCCGCGCUGCUCAGCCCUGGCAGCCCCAGCCCACUCAGGCGGCCGACCACCAGGCUGGGUCAAAGUGGCAGCACGCCGCACUGCUCAGCCCUGGGGGCCCUUUCCCACUCAGGCGGCCGACCACCAGAGUGGGUCAAAGUGGCAGCCCGCCGCGCUGCUCAGACCUGGGGGCCCACCCACACUCAGGCGACAGACCGCCAGAGUGGGUCAAAGUGGCAGCCCGCCGCGCAGUUCAGCCCUGGGAGCCCCACCCCAACUCAGGCGGCCCACCGCCAGAGUGGGAAAAAGUCGAAGCCCACCGCGCUGCUCAGCCCUGUCGUCCACUCCCGACACAGGCGGGCGACCGCCAGAGUGGGUCAAAGUGGCAGCCCGCCUUGCUGCUCAGCCCUGGGGUCCCUCACCCCACUCAGGCCCCCGACCGCCAGAGUGUGUCAAAGUGGCAGCACGCCACGCUGCCCAGUCCUGGGGGCCCCAGCCCCACUCAGGCGGCCGACAGACAGAGUGUGUCAAAGUGGCAGCCCGCCGCGCUGCUCAGACCUGGGGGCCCCACCCCCACUCAGGCGACAGACCGCCAGAGUGGGAAAAAGUGGCAGCCCGCCGCGCUGCUCAGCCCUGGCAGCCCCACCCCACUCAGGCGGCCGACCACCAGGCUGGGUGAAAGUGGGAGUCCGCUGCGCUGCUCAGCCCUGGGGGGCCUCCCCACCCACUCAGGCGGCGGACCACCAAAGUGGGUCAAAGUGGGAGCCCGCCCCGCUGCUCAACCCUGGGGCCCCUCCCUCCCACUCAGGCGCACGACCGCCAGAGUGGGUCAAAGUGGGAGUCCGCCGCGCUGCUCAGCCCUGGGGGCCCUCCCCACCCACUUAGCUGGCGGACCACCAGAGUGGGAAAAAGUCGAAGCCCGCCGCGCUGCUCAGCCCUGGCGGCCCUUCCACCACUCACAGGGCCAACCGCCAGAGUGGUUCAAAGUGGCAGCCCGCCACGCUGCUCAGCCCUGGGGGCCCUUUCCCCACUCAGGCGGCCGACCACCAGAGUGGGUCAAAGUGGCAGCCCGCCGCGCUGCUCAGCCCUGGGGGCCCUUUCCCCACUCAGGCGGCCGACCACCAGAGUGGGUCAAAGUGGCAGCCCGCCGCGCUGCUCAGCCCUGUGGGCCCCACCCCCACUCAGGCGACAGACCGCCAGAGUGGGAAAAAGUGGCAUCCCGCUGCGCUUCUCAGCCCUGGAGGCCCCUCCCCCCACCACUCAGGCGACCGACCACCAGAGUGGGUCAAAGUGUCAGCCCGCCCGGCUGCUCAGCCCUGGGGACCCCACCCCCACUCAGGCGGCCGACCCCCAGAGUGGGUCAAAGUGGCAGACCACUGCCCUGCUCAGCCCUGGGGGCCCCACCCCACUCAGGCGGCCGACCACCAGGCUGGGUCAAAGUGGCAGCCCGCCACGCUGCUCAGCCCUGGGUGACCUCCCCACCCACUCAGGCAACGGACGGCCAGAGUGGGUCAAAGUGGAAGUCCGCCGCGCUGCUCAGCCCUGGCGGCCCUACCCCGACUCAGGCGGCCGACCGCCAGAGUGGGUCAAAGUGGCAGCCCGCCGCGCUGCUCAGCCCUGGGGGCCCUUUCCCCACUCAGGCGGCCGACAGCCAGAGUGGGUGA
rnacentral:lncRNA from 1 species